AGAGUUUGAUCCUGGCUCAGAACGAACGCUGGCGGCAUGCCUAACACAUGCAAGUCGAACGAACCCUUCGGGGUGAGUGGCGCACGGGUGCGUAACGCGUGGGAACCUGCCUUUAGGUUCGGAAUAACAGUUAGAAAUGACUGCUAAUACCGGAUAAUGUCUUCGGACCAAAGAUUUAUCGCCUUUAGAUGGGCCCGCGUUAGAUUAGAUAGUUGGUGGGGUAAUGGCCUACCAAGUCGACGAUCUAUAGCUGGUCUGAGAGGAUGAUCAGCCACACUGGGACUGAGACACGGCCCAGACUCCUACGGGAGGCAGCAGUGGGGAAUAUUGGACAAUGGGCGAAAGCCUGAUCCAGCAAUGCCGCGUGAGUGAUGAAGGCCUUAGGGUUGUAAAGCUCUUUUACCAGGGAUGAUAAUGACAGUACCUGGAGAAUAAGCUCCGGCUAACUCCGUGCCAGCAGCCGCGGUAAUACGGAGGGAGCUAGCGUUGUUCGGAAUUACUGGGCGUAAAGCGCACGUAGGCGGCUUUUCAAGUCAGGGGUGAAAUCCCGGGGCUCAACCUCGGAACUGCCCUUGAAACUGGAUGGCUAGAAUACUGGAGAGGUGAGUGGAAUUCCCAGUGUAGAGGUGAAAUUCGUAGAUAUUGGGAAGAACACCGGUGGCGAAGGCGGCUACCUGGACCGGUACUGACGCUGAGGUGCGAAAGCGUGGGGAGCGAACAGGAUUAGAUACCCUGGUAGUCCACGCCGUAAACGAUGAGUGCUAGUUGUUGGAGGGCAUGCCUUUCAGUGACGCAGCUAACGCAUUAAGCACUCCGCCUGGGGAG
rnacentral:rRNA from 1 species